CUGCAUGCUGGAGUAUGGGUUCACAGUCAUGCUAGAAAAACUUUUUGAGUCAACAGGGCCACCAGUCUUUGAAGCACAGACUGUGUUGGUAGUAUAAAACUCAUACAUUG